rnacentral:siRNA from 1 species
GCUGGAGUAGCUCAGUUGGU